GUGAGGAAUUUUGCGCAAUGGGGGAAACCCUGACGCAGCAACGCCGCGUGAGCGAAGAAGGCCUUCGGGUUGUAAAGCUCUGUCUAGUGGGAAAAACCUCCUGGCGUAAAUAGCGCCAGGAAUUGAUGGUACCGCUGGAGGAAGCACCGGCUAACUCCGUGCCAGCAGCCGCGGUAAUACGGAGGGUGCAAGCGUUGUUCGGAAUUAUUGGGCGUAAAGGGCGUGUAGGCGGUUUGGUAAGUCAGAUGUGAAAGCCCUGGGCUCAACCCAGGAAGUGCAUUUGAAACUGCCAUUCUUGAGUAUGGGAGAGGAGAGUGGAAUUCCCAGUGUAGAGGUGAAAUUCGUAGAUAUUGGGAGGAACACCCGUGGCGAAGGCGACUCUCUGGACCAAUACUGACGCUGAGACGCGAAAGCGUGGGGAGCAAACAGGAUUAGAUACCCCAGUAGUCC
rnacentral:rRNA from 1 species